rnacentral:rRNA from 1 species
UACAGAGGGGGCAAGCGUUGUUCGGAAUUAUUGGGCGUAAAGGGUGCGUAGGCGGUUUGGUAAGUCUCUUGUGAAAUCUAUGGGCUCAACUCAUAGUCUGCAAGGGAAACUGCCGGGCUUGAGUGUGGGAGAGGUGAGUGGAAUUUCCGGUGUAGCGGUGAAAUGCGUAGAUAUCGGAAGGAACACCUGUGGCGAAAGCGGCUCACUGGACCACAACUGACGCUGAUGCACGAAAGCUAGGGGAGCAAACAGG